rnacentral:ncRNA from 1 species
GCUGUCUGCUCUGCCUUGGCAACGAAAAGACAUAGAAAACUCUAGUAGAAAUCCGUAGUGGUCUUGAACAGCAAAUCGGUCAUCUGACCUGGGUAUAGGGGCUAAAUACUAAUUGAACUAUCUAGUA